rnacentral:rRNA from 1 species
AUUGAACGCUGGCGGCAGGCCUAACACAUGCAAGUCGAGCGAGCGGCGGACGGGUGAGUAAUGUAUGGGGACUGCCCGAUAGAGGGGGAUAACUACUGGAAACGGUGGCUAAUACCGCAUACUAUCGGAUAACCCAUAUGGGAUUAGCUAGUAGGUGGGGUAAAGGCUCACCUAGGCGACGAUCUCUAGCUGGUCUGCGAGGAUGAUCAGCGACACUGUGACUGCGACCCGGCCCAGACUCGUACGGAGGCAGAAGUGGGUAAUAUUGCACAAUGGGCGCAAUCCUGAUGCAGCCAUGUAGCGUGCAGGAUGACGGCCCUUGGGUUGUAAACUGCUUUGUAUGGGGAUAAGUUACCAUAUGAAUAAGGACCGGCUAAUUCCGUGCCAGCAGCCGCGGUAAUAC